rnacentral:sRNA from 1 species
UAACGGCUUCCUGAAGAUGCACCCUGUC